GCGCGAGCUGGGCCAGGACCUGCUGCGCCGCUCCCGCGACGUGUGGGCCGACGACGAGGACCACCCGGCGUACUCCCGGAUCCUCACCGAGCUGGCGCCC
rnacentral:tRNA from 1 species